CAGAUCAAGAUCCUGAACUUCUCUGCAUGUCUUUGAUUAGUGUAUUGGAAGAGUCCCAGUCUUACCCGACAACAUCUGCAUAUCAGCCUCACCUCAGUCUAUGGUUAAAAGAGUGUUGAGAUUUGAAGAAACUGUUCAUGGAUUUAAGGUCCCCUGGACCAAUAGUACACCUUACCAAGACAUGGGAAUGAAUAUGCCCAGCCACAGAGAGGUUGCUUCAUAAACCAAACAUGAUCAUACCCAGCACUGCCAGGCACCAGGACUAUGUCAUUUCACAGAUGUCUCCUCAGUAAUUUAGCCUGGUAAGGCUGCUCUUUUCCACUCCACCAGAACAAUGCUCUGUACUGACCAUCUGACCCAGUGUCUGAGAAAAACUGUUACUACUUGAAAGUCAUAAAGUAACUAUGUUUCACCUAAAAUCGGUUUUUUUUUCCAUGAAUAGCUUUUACUACAUACUUUCUGAUGCACUUUUGAGAAUUUGUAAUAUGAGUCUAUAACUAAUGGCUGAAUAUAUGAGGCUUUAAGUGCAAACCGAAUUAACACAACUCAGAUUUGUCUGUGUACAUAGUACACUUGAGAUCUUGUGAGGCCUUUCCUUUGUUCUCUUUUGGUUUUAUGGGGUCAUACCUUUAAUACCGGACACAAGAAUUAGCUUACCUUUGAAAAUACACCAACCCAGGAUGGUUGAUCAUUUACAAAAGAAACAGUGUCCCACAUUAUUGCAAGUCUUUGAAGCAAUGGAUUUAGUUUACUAAGACCAA